rnacentral:rRNA from 1 species
CAGUAGCCGCGGUAAUACGAAGGGUGCAAGCGUUACUCGGAAUUACUGGGCGUAAAGCGUGCGUAGGUGGUGGUUUAAGUCCGUUGUGAAAGCCCUGGGCUUAACCUGGGAAUUGCAGUGGAUACUGGGUCACUAGAGUGUGGUAGAGGAUAGUGGAAUUUCCGGUGUAGCAGUGAAAUGCGUAGAGAUCGGAAGGAACAUCUGUGGCGAAGGCGACUAUCUGGGCCAACACUGACACUGAGGCACGAAAGCGUGGGGAGCAAACAGGAUUAGAUACCCCGGUAGUCCCUGUCUCUUAUAU